GCCUUCGUGGUGUAGUGGUCAGCACGCUGGGUGCGUAUUCCAGAGGUCCGUGGUUCGAGUCCCGGCGAAGGCU
rnacentral:tRNA from 1 species